GACGAACGCUGGCGGCGUGCUUAACACAUGCAAGUCGAACGGAAAGGCCCCUUUGGGGGUACUCGAGUGGCGAACGGGUGAGUAACACGUGAGUAACCUGCCCUUGACUUCGGGAUAACUUCAGGAAACUGGGGCUAAUACCGGAUAGGAAUCCUUGCUGCAUGGUGGGGGUUGGAAAGCUUCGGCGGUUUUGGAUGGACUCGCGGCUUAUCAGCUUGUUGGUGGGGUAGUGGCUUACCAAGGCUUUGACGGGUAGCCGGCCUGAGAGGGCGACCGGCCACAUUGGGACUGGGAUCCGGCCCAGCCUCCUCCGGGGGGCAGCAGUGGGGAAUUUUGCACAAUGGGGGGAAGCCUGAUGCAGCAACGCCGCGUGCGGGAUGACGGCCUUCGGUUUGUAAACCGCUUUCAGCGGGGGGGAAGUUUGUGGGGACGGUCCCGGCAGAAGAAGCCCCGGCUAACUCCGU
rnacentral:rRNA from 1 species